rnacentral:rRNA from 3 species
CGGUGAUCUAGCCAUGGGCAGGUUGAAGGUUGGGUAACACUAACUGGAGGACCGAACCGACUAAUGUUGAAAAAUUAGCGGAUGACCUGUGGCUGGGGGUGAAAGGCCAAUCAAACCGGGAGAUAGCUGGUUCUCCCCGAAAGCUAUUUAGGUAGCGCCUCGUGAAUUCAUCUCCGGGGGUAGAGCACUGUUUCGGCUAGGGGGCCAUCCCGGCUUACCAACCCGAUGCAAACUGCGAAUACCGGAGAAUGUUAUCACGGGAGACACACGGCGGGUGCUAACGUCCGUCGUGAAGAGGGAAACAACCCAGACCGCCAGCUAAGGUCCCAAAGUCAUGGUUAAGUGGGAAACGAUGUGGGAAGGCCCAGACAGCCAGGAUGUUGGCUUAGAAGCAGCCAUCAUUUAAAGAAAGCGUAAUAGCUCACUGGUCGAGUCGGCCUGCGCGGAAGAUGUAACGGGGCUAAACCAU